NGUAGACAGUCAGUUCCGGAUCAGAUCAGCAGCUACUUUGAGGUGAGUUACCUUCCAGUAGCGGCGGGUCAACGGCCACAAUGCCGGCCCACCAGUAGGGGUUGUACGUUAGAUGAAUGUAUUUGUGAUACCAUCUAGGUUUGCUACUACACGAUAUGUUAUAUGCGAGCAUGAUAUGUUAUAUGUGAUAGAAGUAGAGUUCGGUUGCUAGGACCGAAGGGUAGUUCAGACACCCCAGAUAUGUCUGAUAAUUUGUUAUGUUAUGAUAUAUGUGUAAGUUGCAGUAGGGGGUGAAAUAGUCCCCGAGGAUCGGUUGUCAGGACCGACAGGUAAUCAGCACCCCAGAAUAGUUUGACACGGGUAGACGACACCCCAGAAUGGCCGCACAGGUAGACGACACCCCAGAAUGGCCGCACGGGUAUUCGGCAC
rnacentral:lncRNA from 1 species